rnacentral:hammerhead_ribozyme from 1 species
AUCCAAUGGCUGACGAGUCCCAAAUAAGACGAAAUGCGCAUCCUGGAU